rnacentral:rRNA from 1 species
AAAACAAAAAAUACCGGAGCAAUGUUGAAACUUAAGGACUUGACGGUGUCAAUCAACCUAGAGGAGCCUGUUCUAUAACCGAUGAUCCCCGUUAUACCUCACCUCUUUUAGCUAAUCAGCCUGUAUACUUCCGUCGUAAGCUAACCAUGUGACUGUUACAGUAAGCUUAAUAGUUAAAACGUCAGGUCAAAGUGUAACCUAUAAAGAGGAAAGAAAUGGGCUACUAUUUCUAACUCAAGAAAAAACGAAGCAUCAAUAACUGCUAUGAAGGCGGAUUUAGAAGUAAAGUGAAAAUAGCGUGUUCACUUUAAUAAUGUACUAGGACAUGUCACCACCGCCCGUCAUCCU